UAUUUUCUUUCCCCUCCGGUCACUUUCCGCCGGCGGUCGUCGGCCACCGGCCGCCGCCGCCUUCACCGCUACCGGUUGCCGAUCUCCGCCGGUCGCACGAUCUCCGAUUGCCGCCACCCGUCAUUGGCUGCAGGUGAUCACCGAACAUAAAAAAAUGACUUUCGAAAAAAUGUUUUUCAAAAAUAUAAUAUUAUUCGCCAAACAAAUGGAGCGCAAGUAAGAGAUUCCUCUACCUCCCAUGGUAGAAUGGCAGCUCCAUAAACCCUAAUCUCAUCUCUGCUCAACCUCCUUCCAUCUCGCCCUGCGUCUGUUCCCUCAGUUGCCUCUCUCGCAGAGCUUGCUCCGAAUGGCAGAGGAUGAGGAUGCCAAUGCUCGCCUUUCUUCGCUCUGCAAGAGAUCAGACUUGCUCAGGGGAUUGGGAAGGCUUUAGAUGGGAAAGUGGAAAGGAAUGGAUUUUUAUCAGCAGGAGCGAAAGUGGAGAUGAACCUGGAUGCUCCUGUAAAAUCUGGUAUCGUUGCUAGUGGUGGAGGUACGAAGCUUUGGCUUGAUUUUAAAUACGAAAGAUUGCCGCAUUUUUGCUGUUCAUGCGGUAAGCUGGGUCAUUAUGCCAAGUAUUGCACAGAGAUCCCUUAUGAAGAAGGCAAUUUAAUUCCAGAAAAUGACAUUUAUUUUGGGAAAUGGCUACGGGCAGAGGUUGAUGAAUAUAGCCCUUUAUGGAAGGUCUUUUAUGCAGCAAA